rnacentral:SRP_RNA from 1 species
GCUGGGUGUGGUGGCACACACCUGUAAUCCCAGCUACUUGGGAGGCUGAAGCAUGAGAAUCACUUGAACCCAGGAGACAGAGGUUGUAGUGAGCCAAGAUUGUGCCACUGCACUUCAGCCUGGGUGAUAAAGUGAGACUUGUAUCUU